rnacentral:rRNA from 1 species
UACGUAGGUGGCAAGCGUUGUCCGGAAUUAUUGGGCGUAAAGCGCGCGCAGGCGGUCCUUUAAGUCUGAUGUGAAAGCCCACGGCUCAACCGUGGAGGGUCAUUGGAAACUGGGGGGACUUGAGUGCAGGAGAGAAGAGUGGAAUUCCACGUGUAGCGGUGAAAUGCGUAGAGAUGUGGAGGAACACCAGUGGCGAAGGCGACUCUUUGGCCUGUAACUGACGCGAGGCGCGAAAGCGUGGGGAGCAAACAGG